CCUACGGGUGGCAGCAGGGGGGAAUAUUGGACAAUGGGGGAAACCCUGAUCCAGCGACGCCGCGGGAGGGAAGAAGGUUUUAGGAGGGUAAACCUCUGUCAGUGGGGACGAGAAUGACGGUACCCACGGAGGAAGCCACGGCUAACGACGUGCCAGCAGCCGCGGUAAUACGUAGGUGGCAAGCGUUGUCCGGAAUUACUGGGUGUAAAGGGAGCGUAGGCGGGAUGUCAAGUCAGAAGUGAAAAUUAUGGGCUCAACUCCUAACCUGCUUUUGAAACUGCUAUUCUUGAGUGAAGUAGAGGCAAGCGGAAUUCCUGGUGUAGCGGUGAAAUGCGUAGAUAUUAGGAGGAACACCAGUGGCGAAGGCGGCUUGCUGGGCUUUUACUGACGCUGAGGCUCGAAAGCGUGGGGAGCAAACAGGCUUAGAUACCCCAGUAGUC
rnacentral:rRNA from 1 species